CAGGCAAUUAAGCUGACCAGCCCUCCUCCCUGGGUGGGGGGGAAAGGCUGGUAUAACAUGGCUACAAACAGCAGCCUCCUGGGUAGAGUCUGCAGCCUGUUGCUUGUACAGGUUGCUUUAAGGAAGCCUGGAGAUAAUC
ensembl:snoRNA SNORA70 Small nucleolar RNA SNORA70